UACGUAGGGAGCAAGCGUUGUCCGGAUUUAUUGGGCGUAAAGAGCGUGUAGGCGGCCAUACAGGUCCGUUGUGAAAACUGGAGGCUUAACCUCCAGACGUCGAUGGAAACCGUAUGGCUAGAGUCCGGAAGAGGAGAGUGGAAUUCCUGGUGUAGCGGUGAAAUGCGCAGAUAUCAGGAAGAACACCCGUGGCGAAGGCGGCUCUCUGGGACGGUACUGACGCUGAGACGCGAAAGCGUGGGGAGCGAACAGG
rnacentral:rRNA from 1 species